rnacentral:rRNA from 1 species
UACAGAGGUCUCAAGCGUUGUUCGGAUUCAUUGGGCGUAAAGGGUGCGUAGGUGGCGCUGUAAGUCGGGUGUGAAAUUUCGGAGCUUAACUCCGAAACUGCAUUCGAUACUGCGGAUGCUUGAGGACUGGAGAGGAGACUGGAAUUCAUGGUGUAGCAGUGAAAUGCGUAGAGAUCAUGAGGAAGACCAGUGGCGAAGGCGGGUCUCGUGGACAGUUCCUGACACUGAGGCACGAAGGCCAGGGGAGCAAACGGG